rnacentral:misc_RNA from 1 species
UCCGUGUUCACCACGGCAGUCUCCCUAGAGUGCCCAACUGAAUGCUGGCAACUAAGGACAAGGGUUGCGCUCGUUGCGGGACUUAACCCAACAUGUCACCACACGAGCUGACGACAGCCAUGCAGCACCUGUCUCCCGGUCGUAUUGCUACGAAUUCCUCAUCUCUGAGGCGGUCCGGGGAUGUCAAACCCAGGUAAGGUUCUUCGCGUUGCUUCGAAUUAAACCACAUGAUCCACCGCUUGUGCGGGCCCCCGUCAAUUCCUUUGAGUUUUAGUCUUGCGACCGUACUUCCCAGGCGGGAUACUUAGUGCGUUAGCUCCGACUCGGCAGGGGUCAAGACCCACCUAGUCUAGUAUCCAUCGUUUACAGCGUGGACUAC